rnacentral:rRNA from 1 species
UACGAAGGAGGCUAGCGUUGUUCGGAAUUACUGGGCGUAAAGGGCGCGUAGGCGGGCUGCCAAGUCAGGGGUGAAAGCCCACGGCUCAACCGUGGAAGUGCCUUUGAUACUGGCGGCCUUGAGGGAGGUAGGGGCGUGCGGAACUUCCGGUGGAGCGGUGAAAUGCGUAGAUAUCGGAAGGAACACCGGUGGCGAAAGCGGCGCGCUGGACCUCUUCUGACGCUGAGGCGCGAAAGCCAGGGGAGCAAACGGG